rnacentral:lncRNA from 13 species
AUGAGAAAACAGAGGCUCGGAAAGCUACAGAGCCUUACCCAGGGUGACUCAGUGGUGAAGAUGGAGUCUCUCCCGGUAGCCCAGGCUGAGGUGCACUGGUGCAAUCUCUGCUCACUGCACCCUUCGUCUCCUGGGUUCAAGCAAUUCUUCUGCCUCAGCUUCCCGAGCAGCUGGGACUACAGGCGCGUGCCACCACACCCAGGCUGCUCACUCUUAGAAUCCAGCCACCAUACUGUGAGGAAGCCCAAUUUAGCCUAUGCAGAGGAACUAGUGAGAGGCCACGUGGAGGUGCUUCAGUUGACAGCCCCAGGGAGCACAGUGCUUGUCCAGACCCACCCAGCUGGGAGGGGACAGAGGAAGAAUUUGAGCCCAGAGUUGACCCAUCUCCAGCAAGGACAGAAAGACGAUGGGCAUCAUGCACAGCUCUCUGAAAGAACAGAGAUCCUGUUAACAGCAAGCCAUGUGUCUCUCAGGUCCCCCCAGCCACCUGCAGCCCAGCCAUGCUGCGUUAGAAACCACAGAUGCAACCCACGACCUCAUUCUACCGACUGAGAGCAGAGCCAGGGAAAAGCUGAGGAAACAGAGACCUGGAGACAUAUAUGCAAUUACCCUCAAGCGAGAGGUGAACUGGAUUCAGUCGACGCAGAUGUCUGGGGUGGGACCCUGAGAUGCUGCGUUGCUCACAAGCUCCCAGGUGAUGGGAAUGGACCUGGUCCAUGGGCUGCACAUGAAGCAGCAGAGAUGCAUCGAUGUGUCCAUUGAAUAGACACAGACCAGGAAGUCGACCUGCUGCCACCCCAGAACUGUGUCAUUUAUUUAUUCUGCCCAUAUGUAUUGGGUGUUUCUCCUUGCCAGGCAUUGUAUUGAGAUACUGUAGAAGACUAAAAGAUGAGACAGGCGUGCUCCCUGACCUGAUGGACUUUAGACCUAAAGCAAAUGAACUAAACUCUUACAAGUGUAAUAAGAGGGGCUUUGCUUACAGCACACAGAAGUACAUUAUAUUGUGCGGAUGGAUGUGAUGUGCAGAACGCCACUGGGCAAGAGACACGAGUCAGUGCAGCAGCGGCAGGAUAUUUGCAGACGGGCUUGAGUACCGGACCCUCACCUCUCUUGAGAGACUCUGAGAGUGGUAUACCUUGGCCUGCCCAUACCACUCUCCAUCCCCACAUCCUCCAGCUCAGGGACAUGUUUGAUCAGGCCUGCAUGAUCAAAACCACCCCCAACCACAGUAUGGACACUGACACCUAGCCCUCCGUUUACUGUGAGAGUUACUCUUUGGAUUGUUUUGAAUCGCAAAGGAUGUCAUUGACCCCAAUGCUACCCCAUCUUCACUGGUGCUCAGAAUUUUCUGGGCAUAUGGCUGCCAGAGUUGGCAAAUAAAAACACAAGAUGGCCAGUUAAAUGAGAAUUU